rnacentral:tRNA from 1 species
GGAGAGAUAGCUCAGUGGUUAAGAGCACUGACUGUUCUUCCAGAAGGCCUGGGUUCAAAUCCCAGCACCC